GACGAACGCUGGCGGCGUGCUUAACACAUGCAAGUCGAACGGAAAGGCCCUGCUUUUGUGGGGUGCUCGAGUGGCGAACGGGUGAGUAACACGUGAGUAACCUGCCCUUGACUUUGGGAUAACUUCAGGAAACUGGGGCUAAUACCGGAUAGGAGCUCCUGCUGCAUGGUGGGGGUUGGAAAGUUUCGGCGGUUGGGGAUGGACUCGCGGCUUAUCAGCUUGUUGGUGGGGUAGUGGCUUACCAAGGCUUUGACGGGUAGCCGGCCUGAGAGGGUGACCGGCCACAUUGGGACUAAGAUACGGCCCAGACUCCUACGGGAGGCAGCAGUGGGGAAUAUUGCGCAAUGGGCGGAAGCCUGAUGCAGCGACGCCGCGUGCGGGAUGACGGCCUUCGGGUUGUAAACCGCUUUCGCCUGUGACGAAGCGUGAGUGACGGUAAUGGGUAAAGAAGCACCGGCUAACUACGUG
rnacentral:rRNA from 1 species